UUCCAUCAUAAGUAGGAUUUUUUUCUAAUUAAUAUGUGAGAAAGAGUUGGUAUAUGAUAGAAAGUAAUGCUUUAGCUAUGGUUAAAGAUUAUAAAUGCUUCUAAAAUGUUCCAUUAUCGGCUUAGUCAUUUUCUUUUUUGGAGGGGGGUAGGAUUUAAAUAAUAAUAGAUUAGAGAAGAGUUGUUUGUUGAAUUUCAAAAAUGGUUAAGAGGAUGUAAAUAAUGAAAAAUAAUUAUAAUGUAAGUGGAUUGAGGUUAAUGUAUUCUUUUGAAGGUCUUGGUGAAUUGUAUAAAAACCCGUGGAACGCGUAUUUCGAUAGCUACAACCUCCCUCUCUCCUCGGCACCAAACAGCCAACUUCUAAGUUAUUAUGAACCCCAAUACUCGUUCGUAAAGUUUUUAAAUAAUUUUAUGACUUUUCUUCUAAGUGGGAGAUUUUUUUAAAACUUGUAUUUAUUUCUAUGACAUUUAAAAGCAUAGAUAUUUUCUUUUAGUAAAACGAUCCAUCGACCGACUACAGGAUGAAGAAGAUUGGGAACCCAGUCAACGGUUUGAACCGAGUACAUCAUCAUCACCUUAUGCCCACAUUUUUUCCGUGCUAAAAAAAAGGAAACGAAAUCAAGAAUCAAUUGAUUAUGAAGAUGAGGGAUAUCAGCAAAUUGAAGAAAAACGUAAACCGAGUGCUGAAGUAGGAGAUAGGAUUGUUGUAGCUCACACCGAAACAAAAGGAUCGGACGCACGAAAGGAUGUGGAAAUUGUUGAAGUGAAAAAACCCAAUUUUGAUUUUGACCUGAGCAAUGAACUCGAAGAAAGAGAUGCAAAGCUGAAACCUUUCAGCAUUAACCUCGAUCAAGUGAAAGACACCAAUUCGAAAUACAACCACACCAGAAAAAUAAAUAUAAAUCGAAAACAUUUUUCUCCUGACUUAUUUAAAACUAUAAAAAGAGAUCCAUAUAUGACGACAAAAGAAAUGAUUGACAUCUGUUUCAGUGGUUGGACAGCAGAAAAUUAAUUGAAUGAUGUAAAAUGUAUGUAUUUUAAUGUGUAUUUUAUUUUUUGAAAAUGUAUCUGUUUUUGUAUGUAUUUUAUCUGAAACUUUUUUUUUUAAAUAUUACUGUAGAAUGUAAAAUAAAAAAGGCGGGUCCCCUACAAGGGGCCUG